GAUGAAGAACGUAGCGAAAUGCGAUAAGUAAUGUGAAUUGCAGAAUUCAGUGAAUCAUCGACUCUUUGAACGCACAUUGCGCCCCCUGGUAUUCCGGGGGGCAUGCCUGUUCGAGCGUCAUUACAACCCUCAAGCUCUGCUUGGUGUUGGGCCCCGCCGCCCCGGCGGGCCCUAAAAUCAGUGGCGGUGCCGUCCGGCUCCGAGCGUAGUAAUUCUUCUCGCUCUGGAGGUCCGGGUGUGUGCUCGCCAGCAACCCCCAAUUUUUUUCAGGUUGACCUCGGAUCAGGUAGGGAUACCCGCUGAACUUAAGCAUAUCAAUAAGCGGAGGA
rnacentral:misc_RNA from 1 species